GGUGUAUAGCUCCAUGGUAGAGCACUUGCCUAGUAUGUGUGAGGCUCUAGGUUCAAUUCUUAGCACCA
rnacentral:tRNA from 1 species